AUUUUACAGGUCUAGGCAACCCACCACCUCCCCUCACGCCUCCCAUCUUCCUAGAUUAGGAAUAGCAUAGGGGUGUACGCAUGGAUGCUUGAC